CGGAAAUAUUCUCAAUUUUGGAGUCCAAAUAAAUGCUUAUAUAACAUAUGUUCGCAAUGGUGUAUGUUGUUAGAGCCAACGGGAACCCCUUCUAUUGGUAAUAUUCGUUUGAAAUUGGGCAAUUAUAAUGGGUUUCAAUGGCAGAUGACAUCUGUGUAGUGAGACCUAGAGAUAUGCAGGCUGGGGCGAGACGUAUGCCAGUGGAAAAGCGAUCGCCUUAUGCGCAGUCUGUCUAUGAUCGAUCCCGUCGUCUGUACCAUUGGUCUAUUUCUGGUUCCAGUCAGUGCACCACGACUGCUAUAUCAAAGGCAGAGGUAAGUGCUAUCUUAUCUGUGUGAUUUGUGCACAUAAAAGAUCCCUUUCUAGUAAUGGAACACUGUAGCGGGUUUCAUUUCUCUCAGACUAUAUUAUAUCACAAUAACCCAAUAGCCGAUGGUUAAUAAAUAAAUGUGUUCUAGUGGUGUUGUUAAACAAAACAAACUUUUUUUUUUUUGAACAGGUGUUCCGGAGAUCGCUGGCUUGACGCCGCACCAGGCGUUACAAAUCAUCCGAGGGUGUCGUGGCCUCAACAUCGUUGGUGCUGACGUCGUGGAGGUGUCGCCUCCAUAUGAUGUAGCUUCUCUGACUUCCAUCAUGGCGGCUAACCUUCUGUUUGAAAUUCUGUGCGUUCUGCCAGGGGUGAAAUAUUACGACUGAUAGCAGAUCUGACUGUUCAUCACCUAUAAACCAACCAUUUUAGCAUUUGUUUUAAAACGCAGGACAUAUUUGUAGACAUAUGCUUAAUACUACAGUAGGGUUAAUCAGUUUGGGCGGGAGUGGACUUUUACCGAUUUUUGGUAGCGUGCGGCGUUUUGUUUAUUUUUCCUGAUUUAAAGUCAAAAUGAAGACAGGGUCGUAGAUUCAAAAAUUUAACCUCCCCCCCAAAAAAAACCCCAACAACUACAACCCCCCAAACCCCCCCCC